CCGCAGACAAGUCUUAACGACUUGAUUCUCCUUAGGAUCAAUAGACUUUGUGUUGCGAUGUUGUGUUUGCAAACUCGUAUUUCGAGUAUGUGGUGUUUCACCACUUGUUCUGUGGCUUUCAGCCACAAGCAUACUUCCUGUAUUUAUUUUGACCUGUCUGUCAAAUGUUUCACACCGCCUUCCGAUGGGCGGUGUAUUUUUAU
rnacentral:other from 1 species